UAUUGCCAUGGUGUUUUCCCCUUUAUGAGAGUGGUGACUAGUUUGGUUGUUGCAAGGGUUUAGACUUUGCAUAUUUUCCUGAAGAUCCUGAGACAGAACUACUUGCAAACUCACUCAGUAGAGAUCUAGAUACCAAAAACAAACAUGGUCAGUAAGAUAGAGAUAAAGUAUAUAGAGAACAAAACUAAUAGGCGAGUAACUUACGCCAAGAGACAGUCAGGGAUUCUUAAGAAAGCUAAAGAACUCUCCAUUCUUUGUGAUGUUCAAGUUUGUCUCAUCAUCUUUUCUGAUACUGGAAAACUUGAUGAAUAUAUCAGUCCUUCAACCACGAUGAAGGACAUUUUUGAUAGGUAUGAAAAGAAUACUAACGUAGAUCUAUCGGCUUCCGAAUAUGAGAUUGCUAAUGUGGAUCUCUUAAAGACUUUGCAAAAUGAAUUGAGAAAAUAGGAGCUGAUUGACAGUAUACUAAGGAAAGGGAUCAGGCGGAGUUCUGGACAAGAGGAAUUGAGGGAAUUUAGCUAUGGCCAACUGUGUGUUCUCGAGGAAGAUUUGAAUCAUUCUUUGGCAAGCGUUAGACAUCAUAAGUCUUAGGCUAAUAGAGAGGACCAAGGGUCUCAUCUCAAUCCUCUCAAUGCAGUUCCUUCUCAAGUUACUUUCCAACUGCAAUCAAGCCAGCCCAAUCUUCAUGAUGUUGCAGCAGGAGGAGAAUACUCCAAUUCUAACAGUUUGGUCUAGUACUCUACCAAUGAUCCAGUAGUACUCACCCAAAGUGUUAGAUUGUGUGACUGUGAGUUUAGGUUCGGAAAUUGCACUUUGAGCUAGUACUACGCAUUAUGCGAAUGGAUGUUUCACCCUUAUGACUCCAAAUUGGUAUUUUCGUAUCGUAUCUAUCAUUGGUUUUUCUUGAUUAAGUAUUUAGGUUAUAGGUUUGUUGUGGCCAUGUUUAGCACUCCUAUUGUGUGGAGUAACAUGCUUUUUGGCUGUUGGGAGCUCUUGGCGUUGCUGUGCUGAGAGCACUGCAGGAAGUUGAUGGUUUAAAACUGUUAAUGAAAUUAAUAUCAAGAAAGAAGUCUUUUGUAGUAUUUUC